rnacentral:rRNA from 1 species
UUUUAUGGAGAGUUUGAUCCUGGCUCAGGAUGAACGCUGGCGGCGUGCCUAAUACAUGCAAGUCGAGCGAACGGACGAGAAGCUUGCUUCUCUGAUGUUAGCGGCGGACGGGUGAGUAACACGUGGAUAACCUACCUAUAAGACUGGGAUAACUUCGGGAAACCGGAGCUAAUACCGGAUAAUAUUUUGAACCGCAUGGUUCAAAAGUGAAAGACGGUCUUGCUGUCACUUAUAGAUGGAUCCGCGCUGCAUUAGCUAGUUGGUAAGGUAACGGCUUACCAAGGCAACGAUGCAUAGCCGACCUGAGAGGGUGAUCGGCCACACUGGAACUGAGACACGGUCCAGACUCCUACGGGAGGCAGCAGUAGGGAAUC